rnacentral:lncRNA from 1 species
CAUGAUUCAAAUCUCAUGGGGAUGUACCAAAAAAUAUGCAAUGGACAAUUCAAGUGUCCUAAAUGGAUGUCAUCUGAUUUAAAACGAUUUUUAUCUCGACUUCUUGAUACAAAUCCUAUGACAAGAAUAACAAUUGGAGAAAUCAUUAAUCUCCAGCUUGUCCCGACAAUUCAAGUGUCCUAAAUGGAUGUCAUCUGAUUUAAAACGAUUUUUAUCUCGACUUCUUGAUACAAAUCCUAUGACAAGAAUAACAAUUGAAGAAAUCAUUAAAGAUCCUUGGUUCAAAAAAGGGUUGAAACGCGUUAAAUUUUGCGAGGAAGAUGGUCAGCCUCAGAGACGUAUUCAGAAUUUCAAUUUAACGACUCCAUCCAGC